rnacentral:rRNA from 1 species
UACGUGGGGGGCAAGCGUUGUUCGGAAUUACUGGGCGUAAAGGGUUCGUAGGCGGUUUGAUAAGUCAUCUGUGAAAUCUCUGGGCUCAACCCAGAGUCUGCAGGCGAAACUGUCGGGCUUGAGUAUGGGAGAGGUGAGUGGAAUUUCCGGUGUAGCGGUGAAAUGCGUAGAUAUCAGGAGGAACACCGGUGGCGAAGGCGGGUCUCUGGGCCGUAACUGACGCUGAGGAGCGAAGGCGUGGGGAGCGAACGGG